rnacentral:rRNA from 1 species
GACGAAGGAUGCAAGCGUUAUCCGGAUUCAUUGGGUUUAAAGGGAGCGUAGGUGGCCUUAUAAGUCAGUGGUGAAAUCUUCGAGCUUAACUCGGAAAUUGCCAUUGAUACUGUAGGGCUUGAGUAUAGUUGCCGUUGGCGGAAUAUGACAUGUAGUGGUGAAAUACAUAGAGAUGUCAUAGAACACCGAUGCGAAGGCAGCUGACGAAACUAUAACUAGACACUGAAGGCGGUCGAAAGUG